AAGUCCCGUAACGAGCGCAACCCCUACUGAUAGUUGCCAUCAUUAAGUUGGGAACUCUAUCAAGACUGCUGUUGAUAAAACGGAGGAAGGUGGGGAUGAUGUCAAGUCAUCAUGGCCUUUAUGUUCAGGGCUACACACGUGCUACAAUGGUCGGUACAAAGCGUCGCAAUCCCGCAAGGGGGAGCCAAUCGCAAAAAACCGAUCUCAGUUCGGAUUGGAGUCUGCAACCCGACUCCAUGAAGUUGGAAUCGCUAGUAAUCGCAAAUCAGAAUGUUGCGGUGAAUACGUUCCCGGGUCUUGUACACACCGCCCGU
rnacentral:rRNA from 1 species